UACGUAGGGUGCGAGCGUUAAUCGGAAUUACUGGGCGUAAAGCGUGCGCAGGCUGUUUUGUAAGUCAGAUGUGAAAUCCCCGAGCUCAACUUGGGAACUGCGUUUGAAACUACAAGACUAGAAUAUGUCAGAGGGGGGUAGAAUUCCACGUGUAGCAGUGAAAUGACGUAGAGAUGUGGAGGAAUACCAAUGGCGAAGGCAGCCCCCUGGGAUAAUAUUGACGCUCAUGCACGAAAGGCGUGGGGAGCAAACAGG
rnacentral:rRNA from 1 species